AAGUGGGUAGUGUAUUGGCAUGCGUGAUUUCGGCUCAUGAGGUGAUAUUGAUUGUUCUUACUUU
rnacentral:tRNA from 1 species